UUCGUGGCUGAUUCUGGUAUGUGUAGGGUUUUAUUCUGUCUAGUCAGUUCUUUUGGAAAAAAUAGACCAAAAGAAGACUGAGAAAUCGAUCAAAUUGAAAAUACCGCUUGAAAAAGGAAAAAAAACAUUAAUUUUUGUCCAAUUCAAACCCUAGAAGGCAGGCCUUUGUUGAAAAGGAGAUCUACUCAAAGCAGCAAGCUGUUGUUCGAGUUUGGUUUAAGGUGCGUUUGGUUCCCCCAGGCCCCAACUAAUGCAAUUAGUGUGAUUUCUUUUAAAUUCAAGGUUGUGCUUAGAAGUUAGAUCAUGCAUUGAACUAUUAUUUUGUCUUUUUAACAAUAUAGGUAGUGAUCAUGUUAUUUGCUGAUAGCAUUUCUAUGGACAAAUGUAAUGAUUGUAUAUUUAGGAGAAAUCAAACUCUAAUUCAAGUUUAUGUACUACUUGACGUUGUACAUAUGAAGAUUCUUCAAAUUGGGAAUCAUUAGUUGGUAAAAUAUUAUGAAAUGAAUUUUGAUUUAUGCGUAAUCUGUUAGUGGACCAUAAUUCAUGGAUUUUGUGUUUGUAAACACGAGUUGGCAGAUUUUAUAUGAAAUUCGUAAAAGCUGAAUCUUGGAAAUUAAAAGUAUAAUUACAAAUGUCGUAUUCCUUCAUCAGUUGAAAUAGUUUUAUGACCCCAUUACUCCAAAACAUUAGUCUCAACUACUCUUCCAAGGUUGGGGUACCUUGUGAAAGGAGGUGUGUGUUGUAAUUCUGUAAUUAAGCACACUUAGAGGGGGUGAAUAGUAAGCAGAUUAUUAAAAUGUAUAACAGAAACAAAAGAAUAAUAAAUCACAUCAAGAUUUUUAUGUGGUUCAGCCCUAUCCUUUACUCUAGUGGCCUAAUCCACGUCUAAUACCAAAUGGUAUUGGAGACUCUUUUUUAUUAAACUUUAAUAUUCAAAAGAUUACAGAAAACUCCCUGUACAACGAAGAUCGAUUCCGACUUGGACACCUCUGCCACUUUGCACCUCUGCAACUUCUCUCACCUCUGAGACCUUGAUGCUACUAUGUUUACAAUAGAUAUUAAAAGAAGAAAUACAAUAACUACACUGUAAACUGAGAUCUAAAGAAUGAUAUAGUGACUUGUAUCUAUCUCGAAUUAGUUUUCUGAUGAGUUUCUGUUCUGCAGUCCUGUGUCCCCUUUGAGCCGAGCAACCAGUAUAUAUAAACGAGAGAAGAGCAACGACUAGAACAAGCAACGACUAGUUCUUAAUUGAAAUAGGAGAUAUACGUUAGCAAUAAAAUCUCAUCCUAUUAUAAAAUCUAACAGAUAAAAUAUGUAACAAUAUAAAACAGCUCAGUAGAUAUAUACUCCCUCCGUCCCAGGAUAAAAGUCCUUAUUACUAUUUUGGGUUGUCCCAUGUUAAAUGUCUACUUUCUUUUAAUAACCAAACUUUUACACAUUUGUUCCUAUUAUGUCCGUAGCAUUAAAUAUCUCAUACUUUUCUUAUUCUAAUUCUCUCUCCAUAUUUAAUGACAUUAUUAUGGAUAAUUUUGUUAUUUUAUUCCUCUUCUUAAUAUGCGUGAAAAGUCCACCAGGACUUUUAUCCUGGGACGGACGGAGUAUGAGAUAUACUGCUAUGAAGGAGUCAAAUAAUAUCCAAAGUUUAGCUGAAAGAGUCCAACUAGCUGUUAGCAACUUUGAAUGAGAUUCCUUAAAUAUACCAACUCCUAGAAAAUCUCCAAACCAAUAUUCGAUAACCAUAUAUAUAUAUAUAUAUAUAUCAAAAAUAUGAGGAACUUGAGGAAUAUUAAACAGAUCUAGAUAUAAACAUAUAUUUCCUAGUUAUAUUAGUUUCCAUAAAAAAUUGAAGCACGUGGCAAAGAGCUACCAUACAAAUUGAUUAUCGACCCAUUUCAAAAUCUAUUCAGCCCAUUUAAUAACUUAUAUUCUCUAGCAUAUUGUUAUCAUUAAAAUUAUAAAAUAUAAAAACCAACAUUCUUCACCUUUUUGAUGAUGACAAUAUAUUAAACUUUGUAAUCAACAUGCUCCUUCUAAGUAUAUGGCUCCCCCUAAAUUUAUGCAUAUUAAGGAGCAAAAAAAAGACUUGAUCCAAAUAACCAUCAUUGCAUAACAUGAAUACCAAUUCAAAUCAAUUCAAAUACCAAAUAUCUCUCCCCCUUUGUCAUUAUAAAAAAAAAUAAGACUAUGCAUAUUAAUCAUUAAGCACAAGUUGAUUAUAGCAUAAUCAACUUGUAAUCAACAUGCUCCCUCUAAGUAUAUGGCUCCCCCUAAAUUUAUGCAUAUUAAGGAGCAAAAAAAAGACUUGAUCCAAAUAACCAUCAUUGCAUAAAAUGAAUACCAAUUCAAAUCAAUUCAAAUACCAAAUAUCUCUCCCCCUUUGUCAUUAUAAAAAAAAAAUAAGACUAUGCAUAUUAAUCAUUAAGCACAAGUUGAUUAUAACAUAAUCAUCAUUACCCAAAUAUCUCUUCCCCUUUGUCAUCAACAAAAAGUAACAAAAUCAAUAUAUAGCAAAUAAACAAAAUGAUCAUACCUUUGCGAUUUGUUACAUAUAUAUACCAACAUUUUGUUACCAAUAAUAAACUUGAUAAUUGAGCUCCUUAGUGUAGUCUCUCAAAGUAAAGUAUUAUUCGUCUCCAUUUUGACCUUGAGAUAUCUACAAAACAAACAAAUCGUCUCUACCUUUUUGGUACCCAAAUCUUCUUGGGUCCUUUUGUGUUAGUAGCAUAUAAAUCACAUUUCUUUACCCAAAUUUGUUUUAUUCUAAUUUUAUUACAAUUAGAAUCAAAAUGUCCUUUAAAACCACAUUUUUUACAAGUAACAAACGGUGAACAAUAAAGUGGCUUAAACCUUGUUUUACUAUUAAUCAUUCUAAUAUUAUCAUUAAUUCUAUUUUUCACAUUUUUAAUAGGAUUAUACCUAAUUCCUUGUUUAUCGGACUAGACCUUUGUGCCCCUAACAUAACAUUUAGGUUCUCUUCUCCUUGCACAAAUUUAGCAAGAUCAUUUUUUAAAGAUGUUAUUUCUGCAUUUGUUAUAUUAUCAUCAUGUUGAACAUUCAUCAUUUUUCCAUCAUUAAAAGCAUCUAUACAUGCAUCUCUCAUUUUCAAUUUUUUUUAACACUUCAUUUUCAUUUUUAAGAUAUUCAUUUUUUUUUUCUCUUUAAUACGUGACUUAACUUCAUUCAUUAGCUCAUUUACACAAUUCUUAAAAUAGGUAGUUUUCUUUUUGAGCUGUUGAUUUUUAUUUUGUAAAGCAAUAUAAUCAGGCAUAUAUAUUUCAAAAGCUUCAUGAAAAUUUGUUAUCUCAAGUUGAUCAUCAUUUUCUAGUCCCAUGAAACAGAGUUGGACAGUUUCUUCUUCUUGUUUCGUUUUGGACUUGCUCACUAGAGUUGAGCUACCUUUUUGAUUUUUCCUUUGUUUCUUCCUUUGAAGUAGUCUCUCGAGUUUUCUUGAGAGCAUUUCAAUUUCUUCAUCAAAAUCUUCGUGAUUACUUUUAUUGUUGCUCUCGACUUGAAGUGCCAAUGUCUUCUUUAUUGGUGCUUCAUCUUCUUCAUCAUACCUUCUUAACUGAUUUUCAAAUUCUUCAAGCUCUCUAAAUAAAGUGAGAGUUUCCAUUGUUUGUUGUUGAAUCUUGAAGAGUUGUAACCUUUGGUGCGAAUCCUUUAGGCAUGACUCUAAGUAUCCUUCUGUUUAUCUCCCUUUGAUCAAUUUUCAGUCCCUUUGAUCAAUUUCCUAGUUCAUUAGAGUAAGAAAUCUCCCUUGAGCUUCAUUAAUUGUUUCAUCCUUUUCUAACUUGAAUAGCUCAUAGUCUUGCAUUAGCAGUACUUAACUUCACCUCUUUUACUUUGGAAGUACCUUUGUGGCUUGUCAAGAUAGUAUCCCACAUUUCUUUUGCUGUGUUGCACGAUGAUACUUUAUCAAUUUCAGCUUGGACCAUUCCGCUUAGCAAGGUGUUCAUGGCUCUUGAGUUGUAAGAAAACAUGUAGCUUUCAUUUUCAUCCAUGUCCAUGAGAGUCUUGAGUCUACCAUCAUCAGGUCUAGGAAUAACUGGUCUAUUUUCAACAACCCCCAUUCCCAUGGGUCUCGUUUGAGAUAGAUCAUCAUUCUAAACUUCCAAAAGUUGAAGUUUUCACUUCCGAGCAACAAAGGUGGUCGGCUUGUAGAUUGACCUUCUUGAAAAUAGAGGUGUGCCAUAGGAUCAUUCCCUACAACCUGCAAAGAUCAAUAUUAGUAGAGCCUUGUUUUGAUACCAAAUGUAAUUCUGUAAUUAAGCACACCUAGAGGGGGUGAAUAGGUGUAAAUACCAAAAAAUGAUCUACAGUGGUCAAUUUUUAAAGUUUACUACUGCAAGUUAUAAUUGGACGAUCUAACCCUGUCCGUAUUAGUUAUGUUCUUCGUCUGUUAUAAACGGGCAACUAAUACCUGUCUGUUUUAGUAUAUAUUCUUCGUCUGUUAUAAUCAGACAGCUAAUACCUGUCGGUUUUAGUAUAAUUUUUGACUACGACUAAAACCAAAAAUUGCAAAUUAUUAAAACGUAUAACAGAUCAAAAGAACAAUAAAUCACACUAAAAUUUUUACGUGGUUCAGCCCCUAUCUUCUACUCUAGCGACCUAAUCCACGUCCAAUACCAAAUGGUAUUGGAGACUCUUUUUAUUAAACUUUAAUAUUCAAAAGAUUACAGAAAACUCCCUGUACAACGAAGAUCAAUUAUGACUUGGACACCUCUGCCCCCUUUGCACUUCUGCAACUUCUCUAACUUCUCUCACCUCUGAGACCUUGAUGCUUCUGUUGUACAGACUGAAUAUUAAAUGAUCACCCAAGCCAACCUAGACUUGUACUAUGUUUACAAUAGAUAUUAAAAAAAGAAAUACAAGAACUACACUGUAAACUGAGAUCUAAAGAAUGAUAUAGUGACUUGUAUGUAUCUCAGAUUAGUUUUCUGAUGAGUUUCUGUUCUGCAGUCUUGUGUAGAACAAGCAACGACUAGUUCUUCUUAAUUGAAAUAGGAGAUGUACGUUAGCAAUAAAAUCUCAUCCUGCUCUAAAAUCUAACAGAUAAGAUAUAUAACAAUAUAAAACAGUUCAAUAGAUAUAUAUGAGAUAUACUGCUAUGAAGGAGUCAAAUAAUAUCCAAAGUCUAGCUAACAGAGUCCAACUAGUUGUUAGCAACUUUGAAUGAGAUUCCUUAAAUAUACCAACUCCUAGAAAAUCUCCAAACCAAUAUUCGAAUUGGUAACCAUAUAUAUAUAUAUAUAUAUAUAUAUAUAUAUAUAUAUAUUAGAAAGAUAUCCCAGUAAUUCAAAAAUAUGAGGAACUUGAGGAAUAUUAAACAGAUUUAGAUAUAAACAUAUAUUUCCUAGUUCUAUUAGUUUCCAUAAAAAACUGAAGCACGUGGCAAAGUGCUACCAUACAAAUUGAUUAUCAACCCAUUUCAAAAUCAAUUCAGCCCAUUUAAUAACUUAUAUUCUCUAGCAUAUUGUCAUCAUUAAAAUUACAAAAUAUAAAAACCAACAUGUGUGGGUUGCCCUACUCUGAGUCAGGUACUACUAUGUUACUUUGUUGAAGAUUAGAUACACACACACUGGCAAACACAUGCACAUUUUGAUGGCUGAGAGGUUAGCGAGUAUGAGUCACUUGAGAAGUCUUGAUCAUUUGGACCAAAAUAGGGAUUACACGAGUAAUGAAUUGGCUUCAUAUUUAUCACAUCACAAUCUUUUGGCUCCUGAGUUUAUGCAUUUAUGUUCCUUGUGCAGUUUUACCUUUUAAUUUUCCUCCCUUUCUGAGUGUACUGUGUAUUGAAUGAAUCAAUUUUUUUUUCUUCUUUCCCUUUUCAAUUGUUUGCUGGUGGUGGCUAAAUAAAUGCUUGGCAAUUGAUUUUUGCUUAAAUCACCAUGUUGUCCCACUUAUAUCAAAUUUUGAUAGUCCAGACUAGCACUUCUUCAUUUAUAAAUCCUCUUUUACUUUUUGGUUUAAUUCCGUUUGUAUUGAUGCUAGGCAAAAGGCAAAAUUUGUUCCCAUCACUUCUGGAGAAUGGGUCGAUUUUUUUAUUAAGUUUUUAAUUUUUAAUUUAUAUUUCCAGGUGAUUGGUUGGACUGUAGGAGGUUAAAAUUUCUUAGCACAUAGUCUGCAUUGUGCUGCGACCUUGAAUAUAUAUAUAUUUUAAUCUUCAAUUGAUUUCAGGAACCUAUCAUACAAAGCCUUGCAACAAGACAUGCAUUCAAGUGCCAGCUAUAUACUUCAGCAUGUUUAAGAUACUUACUGCAGCCGGGGUGGAUGGAGUAGAAGGGCAAUGCCUAUGCUGCCUUUUUUUUUUAUAGGUAUAGGGGGCAGAAUUUAUAAGUUAAUAAACUCAAGGGGGCAGAUUAAUAGAAAGUUAAACUUGUUGGGGGCAAAAGAAAACAGUUCCAUUCUAAUUUAAUUCAACAAAGUAAAGAUUAUAGAGUCAGAGAGGCGAGAGCAUACUUGAAAGAACUCGUUUCUCUGCUUUACUUCUUGGCUGAAAAACUGAAACACCGCGAGUUUGUGACCACUGCGACUUCUCCUUUUCUCAGCGACGACCACCGUGACCUCGUCUCCUCUUCUCAUUUCAUUGCAGUCUCUACUCUCUAGUCUCUUCCCUUGCCCCAUGCGCAUUAGAAG
rnacentral:lncRNA from 1 species